CUUCGGAUUGUAAAGCACUUUCGACGGGGACGAUGAUGACGGUACCCGUAGAAGAAGCCCCGGCUAACUUCGUGCCAGCAGCCGCGGUAAUACGAAGGGGGCUAGCGUUGCUCGGAAUGACUGGGCGUAAAGGGCGCGUAGGCGGAUGGCACAGUCAGAUGUGAAAUUCCCGGGCUUAACCUGGGGGCUGCAUUUGAUACGUGUGAUCUAGAGUGAGGAAGAGGGUCGUGGAAUUCCCAGUGUAGAGGUGAAAUUCGUAGAUAUUGGGAAGAACACCGGUGGCGAAGGCGGCGACCUGGUCCUUGACUGACGCUGAGGCGCGAAAGCGUGGGGAGCAAACAGGAUUAGAUACCCUGGUAGUCCACGCUGUAAACGAUGUGUGCUGGAUGUUGGGCGACCUAGUCGCUCAGUGUCGUAGCUAACGCGAUAAGCACACCGCCUGGGGAGUACGGCCGCAAGGUUA
rnacentral:rRNA from 1 species